UGGGGAAUAUUGGGCAAUGGACGCAAGUCUGACCCAGCAACGCCGCGUGAAGGAAGAAGGCUUUCGGGUUGUAAACUUCUUUGACAGGGGAAGAGUAGAAGACGGUACCCUGAAAACAAGCCACGGCUAACUACGUGCCAGCAGCCGCGGUAAUACGUAGGUGGCAAGCGUUGUCCGGAUUUACUGGGUGUAAAGGGCGUGUAGCCGGGUCUGUAAGUCAGAUGUGAAAUCCAUGGGCUUAACCCAUGAACUGCAUUUGAAACUGCGGAUCUUGAGUAUCGGAGAGGUAAUCGGAAUUCCUAGUGUAGCGGUGAAAUGCGUAGAUAUUAGGAGGAACACCAGUGGCGAAGGCGGAUUACUGGACGACAACUGACGGUGAGGCGCGAAAGCGUGGGGAGCAAACA
rnacentral:rRNA from 1 species